rnacentral:lncRNA from 1 species
UGCCACAGUUUGAUACACAUGCUCCUAGAAGUGUUAAAGCCUGCAUAGCAACAUGGGGAUCCUUAUGGUUCACUCUCUUCAUAAUGGAACGAAGACAAUCCUUAGGCCCUGUGCGUGACUGUCCAACUUUAUCACAAAUGUCUAAGAUGAGGCCCCAGUCCUCUGCAGUGUUCAUCUCACUGGUUGCUUUCUCCACAUCCUGGUCGAAGGGGUUGGUGGCGAAGAGCGGCAUGGCGGGGCGCGGGGGCUCGGCGCGGCCACCCCUCCGCUCCCGGCAGCGCGGCGACCGAACGACGGGCCCGCGGCGGCUCCCGCUGCUCCUCCCGCCGGGGUCGCCUUCGCCUCCGCCGCCGCCGCCGCCUCCCAGGGCUCCGGAGCCAGCCCGCCGCGCGCAGCAUGCCGGGAAGCCGGGGCCGGCCCUACCGCCCCGGGAGCGGCCCGGCCCGCCCAGCUGUACUCCGACGCGGCUCCGGGGGAGUGGAGCCCCGUACGGGGGACGCCCUUCGGGCUCUGUCCGCGGACCGGACUGCGCCUGGCCCCCAGCCGCGGCGGGCGGCUCCCAGGGUCUCUCUGCUGCUGCCCUCCGGGGGUGCCGGCGCCUGCCUCCCCCACACGCGUCCGGCUCGGUGGAAAAGCGGACUCAGGGGAGUUUUAUUUGGUUUUAUUUUUUCGUAAGUCGGGUUCGUGCCCUGCUCUCAGUGGAAAACGUUCCGAGCUUCGUCGGGCUGAAUUAGUGUUUUCAUUGUUAAUGCCAUCGUGCUUUGGAAAUGAGUGGCACUACUGCACAGGUGAGGGGUCAUCGUGACAGUAUUUCACAGCACGGCACGUGUUUGUGUGCAGAGUGCCUGUGUGCCUCUCCACGGUUACAGAAUCACAGAAUCAUGGGGUGUCCCGAGUCGGAAGGGACCCACGAGCAUCAUCGAGUCCAAUCUCAUCUCCACACAGGGCCACUCAGAAUCCAAACCCUACGUCUGAGAGCGGUGUCCAAACGCCCCUUGAACUCCUUCCCUCGAGGCCGUGCCCACUGCCCUGGGCAGCCUGCUCCA